rnacentral:lncRNA from 1 species
GCGGGACUUCCGGCGUCCUCCUGGAGGCGGUCGUUUUCUGAGGGUCUUGCUCUGUUGCCCAGGCUGGAGUGCAGUGGUACAAUCUCAGCUCACUGCAACCUGCGCCUCCCAGGUUCAAGUGAUCCUCCCACCUCAGCUUCCCGAGUAACUGGGACUACAGGUACGCGUCACCACCCAAAUGUCAUCUUGAAUUGUAACUCCCACAAUUCCCAUGUGUCGUGGGAGGAACUCAGUGGAUGAUGAUUGAAUUAUGGAGGCAGGUCUUUCCUGCACUGUUCUACUGAUAGUGAAUGAGGCUUACAAGAUCUGAUGGUUUUAAAAAUGGGAGUUUCUGCACGAACUCUCUUUGCCUGCUGCCAUCCAUGUAAGAUGUGACUUUCUCUUCCUUCCCUUCCACCAUAAUUGUGAGGCUUCCCCAGCCAUGUGGAACUGUGAGUUCUCCAUUAAACCUCUUUCUUUUGUAAAUUGCCCCAUCUUGGGUAUGUCUUUAUCAGCAGCAUCAAAAUGGACUAAUACAAUGCCCAGCUGAUUUUUGUGUUUUUAGUAGAGAUGGGGUUUUGCCGUGUUGGCCAGGCUGGUCUCAAAGUCCUGGCCUCAAAUGAUCCACCUGCCUCGGCCUCCCAAAAUGCUGGGAUUACAGGUAUGAGCCACCAUACCCAGCUGGCAAUGAAAUUUCAAUAUGAGUUUUAGAGGGUACAAGUAUUCAAACCUAGCACACAUUCUCUUAAAUGCUUGAAGGUGGCUAAAACUCAUUCAAAAUUUCAGUCACUUUGCAUUGAGAACACUGACAAAAGCCUUAAUUCAUUUUUCCUUUUUAUGUGUUAUAACAAGGUUUUAAUUUAGAUAAUGAAUUAGGUGAAACAAUUUAUGAUGACGUAAAUCAUUAUGUCAUAAUAAUAAUUUUAUCAGUAUAAAAAUUCUGGUAGUGAAAUUUUCAGUUCUAAAAGAUACCUGUAUGCCGAGACCAACUCGGUCGGGGAGACCCUAACCCAGCGGCGCUAGAGGAAUUAAAGACACACACACAGAAAUAUAGAGGUGUGAAGUGAGAAAUUAAGGGUCUCACAGCCUUCAGAGCUGAGAGCCCCAAACAGAGAUUUACCCACGUAUUUAUUAACAGCAAACCAGUCAUUAGCAUUGUUUCUGUAGAUAUUAAAUUAACUAAAAAUAUUCCUUAUGGGAAACGAAGGGAUGGGCCUUCCAUGCAGAAGCAUGUCCUUAGAGCACAGAUCACUCAUGCUAUUGUUUGUGGCUUAAGAAUGCCUUUAAGCGGUUUUCCGCCCUAGGUGUUCCUUGUCCUCAUUCCCGUAAACCCACAGCCUUCCAGCGUGGAUGUUAGGGCCAUUAUGAACAUAUCACAGUACUGCAGAGAUUCUGUUUAUGGCCAGUUUUGGGGCCAGUUUAUGGCCAGAUUUUGGGGCGCUGGCUCCCAACACCUGUAAAUUAAACACUUUUGUGCAUGCAAACAUACAAUGAACAGCUUUAGUCAACAUCUGAGACAGCUUUGUUUAUGGUUGUUUUGAUUUACAUUAAAAUUACACAAAAUAAUAUUUAUGAUGUAUAAGUAAGGCAAAAAGAAUAACACUAAGACAGACAGCCAUGAAGCUAUCAUCUGCUUUAAGAAACAGAACUUUAUCAAUAUCUUAGAAGUUUCGUCUGUAUUCUCUCCCCUGCUUUGAGGUAAUCAUUCAUUCUAAAUUUUGUGUAGUUAAUAGUUUUAUUUUCCUAAUACUGUUUCUUCAGCCAUAUAUGGCUAUAUCCCAUAACCAUAUAUUACUUAUUUGUGCAUAUUUAAAACUUUACAUAAAUGUUGUGAUACUGUAUUUGUUUUUCUGAGAUGCAUUCAUGACAUGCAUGUGGCUGUAGUUUAUUUUAACAAAAGUCUUGAUUCUGUGGAUAACAAUAGCAUAUACUUAGCACUUUAUAUGUACUAAUGUGUUUGAUACCAACACUACCCCUAUGAGUUGGUUCCAUUACUGUCCCCAUUUUACAGAUGAAGAUGCUGAGGAACAGGGAGGUCGAGUAGCCCAAGAUCACACAGCUGAUAAAAGGCUGCCCUAAUGUGUGAGGCCCACAGUAGACAGUCAGCUGGAGGCCAUCUUGCUCCAGCACCAGGAGAAGGGGUUGGACAAACCCUUAGAACCCCACCAUGGUUGCCAGUUGCCUGUAGUGUUGUUCUUCUCACAGAUACUAAUGGCUGCAGAAGUCUCUACUCACCUGUGCAUGACUAAGGUCAUGCACAGGUGAGUAGAGGGUGUCUCAGACCUGUACCCUCCUCAUCUCCUAACCAUAUAGUCUCUGGGAUUUUGGUGUCUUGGGACUAUACAUACGCCUGCCACUUUCCUGGCUGUUGGAUUUAGGGCCCCUGAGUUCCCUCAGACUCAGUAUCUUAAUCCUAGGUCAGGAGAUACAUGGAGAGGUUCCCAUUUCUGAUAACUGCUAGAAUGCUAUGUAGAUGGUGUUAUGAGCACAAGGAUCAGCAUGUGAACGUAUUUCUAUGCAAAACUGAGCUGGCGGUAUUCAGGGAACUGAAGGUCUCCAUUAUGUUUGGUGGGACCAGAGAGUGAGGAUGCAGGAUUCAGGCCUGGAAGGGCAGGCAGAGCAGAUGUGUGUCUUUUCUGAGGAGUCAGGGAACAUUUGGUGGAGAGGAUGGAGGUCAGAAUCAGGUCUUAACCAACAUCCUCUGGCUGUAAAGUGGAGAACAGGGAGCAGAGGCAAGGGAGAAGGCCACAGUGGAAUUAAACUAGAAAUCAGUAACAGAUAGUUCUGAAAUAUAGAAAAUUCCAAAAUAUAUGGAUAUUAAGCAACACACUUCUAAAAAACACAUGGAUCCAAAAAACAAAAAAAAAAA